rnacentral:rRNA from 1 species
UACGUAGGGGGCAAGCGUUGUCCGGAUUUAUUGGGCGUAAAGGGCGCGUAGGCGGCCACCGCAAGUCAAUUGUGAAAUCUCCGGGCUUAACUCGGAAAGGUCAACUGAUACUGCGGGGCUAGAGUGCGGAAGGGGCAACUGGAAUUCUCGGUGUAGCGGUGAAAUGCGUAGAUAUCGGGAAGAACACCCGUGGCUAAGACGGCUCUCUAGUACGGUACUGACGCUGAGACGCGAAAGCGUGGGGAGCGAACAGG